AUACGGAGGAUCCGAGCGUUAUCCGGAUUUAUUGGGUUUAAAGGGUGCGCAGGCGGGAGAUUAAGUCGGCGGUGAAAUUUUGCAGCUCAACUGUAAAAGUGCCUUCGAAACUGGUUUCCUUGAGUGUAGAUGAAGUAGGCGGAAUUUGUGGUGGAGCGGUGAAAUGCAUAGAUAUCACGAGGAACUCCGAUUGCGCAGGCAGCUUACUAAACUACUACUGACGCUCAGGCACGAAGGCGUGGGGAUCAAACAGGAUUAGAUACCCUGGUAGUCCACGCAGUAAACGAUGAUUACUAGCUGUUUGCGAUACAAUGUAAGCGGCUGAGCGAAAGCGUUAAGUAAUCCACCUGGGGAGUACGGUCGCAAGAAUGAAACUCAAAGGAAUUGACGGGG
rnacentral:rRNA from 1 species